UUCAUAUUCAUAUAGGGCUUCCGUACC
rnacentral:piRNA from 1 species